rnacentral:rRNA from 1 species
CCUACGGGAGGCAGCAGUGAGGAAUAUUGGUCAAUGGACGAGAGUCUGAACCAGCCAAGUAGCGUGAAGGAUGACUGCCCUAUGGGUUGUAAACUUCUUUUAUAUGGGAAUAAAAUGUUCCACGUGUGGGAUUUUGUAUGUACCAUAUGAAUAAGGAUCGGCUAACUCCGUGCCAGCAGCCGCGGUAAUACGGUGGAUCCGAGCGUUAUCCGGAUUUAUUGGGUUUAAAGGGAGCGUAGGUGGAUUGUUAAGUCAGUUGUGAAAGUUUGCGGCUCAACCGUAAAAUUGCAGUUGAAACUGGCAGUCUUGAGUACAGUAGAGGUGGGCGGAAUUCGUGGUGUAGCGGUGAAAUGCGUAGAUAUCACGAAGAACUCCGAUUGCGAAGGCAGUUCACUGGACUGCAACUGACACUGAGGCUCGAAAGUGUGGGUAUCAAACAGGAUUAGAUACCCGGGUAGUC